rnacentral:rRNA from 1 species
CCUACGGGUGGCAUCAGUAGGGAAUUUUCGGCAAUGGGGGAAACCCUGACCGAGCAACGCCGCGUGAACGAAGAAGUUAUUCGUCAUGUAAAGUUCUGUUACCAGGGAAGAAAGAGAAAUUUGACGGUACCUGAAGAAUAAGCUCCGGCUACCUACGUGCCAGCAGCCGCGGUCAUACGUAGGGAGCGAGCGUUAUCAGGAAUGAUUGGGCGUAAAGGGUGCGAAGAUGGCAGAGUACGUCUUUUGUAAAAAUGCUGGUCGAAACCCAGUAGUGCAAAAGAUACUGUAAAGCUAGAGUAUGACAGAGGCAAGUGGAACGACAUGUGUAGCGGUAAAAUGCGUAAAUAUAUGUAAGAACACCAGUGGCGAAGGCGGCUUGCUGGGUCGAUACUGACAUUGAGGCACGAAAGCGUGGGGAGCAAACAGGAUUAGAUACCCGAGUAGUC